UGAGCUGCAACACUCACCCUGAAGGUCUGC
rnacentral:piRNA from 1 species